AUGGAGGGGAUAUUUUCUGCGACUUUCGGUGAACUUAUUAGCAGAUGCAUAUCCUUUCUGAUCAACAAAUACUCCACAAAAAUAUCCUUGUCCAAGGGGGAGAUUCUACAGCAACUAGACCGGAUGUUGCUCCGGGUUCUUCUUAUCACCGUGGAAGAGGCCGAGGGGAGGAGCAUCACGAACCAGGCAAUGCUUCGCCAACUCAACAUGCUGAGACAAGAUAUGUGCAGAGGCUAUUACUUGCUUGACAAAUUCAGGUACCUUGCACAUGAAGAAGGGAAGGCCAAAGAUCUGGAAGCGAGCCACCACUCCUUUGCCCUAUGUAUAUCCAAUCCAGGCAAGCGUGCUUCCCUGUCUGCUAGCAGCACACAUGGCGAAAAGGAGUUAAGAAAGAUGCUUGAGACUAUCGAAAACGUUGUCACUAGUAUGCAUGAGUUUGUUGCUUUUCUCAAUAACUACCCUCCAAUUUGUCGUCGUCAACCAUACAACAUGCACCUGGUGAUGGAAACAUGCAUGUUUGGUCGCCAAGUAGAAGUGCAGCGAAUCAUCAGUUUCUUAUUGCGGCAUGAGCCUCCUGGUGAACACAGUCUGGGUGUGGGUGUCCUGCCAAUUGUUGGCCCUGGAAAAGUUGGCAAGAGCACACUUGUUGAGCAUGUUUGCUGCGACGUAAGGGUGCGUGAUCACUUUACUCAAAUUGUGCUAGUUUGUGAAAACAAAUUUAUUCAAGGAGAGCUCCGCACCCUGAGAGAUGGAGGCAUAAUUAAGCAUCAAAAUCAAAAUGGUAUUCCGAGUGAAGAAAAAAUAAUUGUUGUGAUUGAGUUGAAUGGGGAAGUUGAUGAGGGGGUGUGGAGAAAGCUUUACUCUGCUUCUACAAGCUUCAUUCCAAGAGGCAGUAAAAUUAUAAUCACGAGUCGAGCGGAGAACAUCACAAGAUUUGGAAAUACACAAGCUCUCUGGUUAAACUUUUUGCCUCGAGAAGAGAGCUGGUACUUCUUCAAGGUGCUCGUGUUUGGAAGCGCAGAUCCCGAAGAUCACCCAAAGCUAGCAUCCAUAGCAAUGGAGAUAUUCGAGGGGUACUUUGGUCUAGAAAUGUUUAAUGACUACACUGGUCCUUUCACAAAUCCAAAACUUAUUCUGGGUUUCUAA
rnacentral:rRNA from 1 species